GAUCAUGGCUCAGGAUGAACGCUGGUGGCGUGCCUAGCACAUGCAAGUCGAACGGAGCUGCUUUGAUGAAGUUUUCGGAUGGAUUUAAAACAGCUUAGUGGCGGACGGGUGAGUAACGCGUGGGUAACCUGCCUCACACUGGGGGAUAACAGUUAGAAAUAGCUGCUAAUACCGCAUAAGCGCACGGUUCCGCAUGGAACAGUGUGAAAAACUCCGGUGGUGUGAGAUGGACCCGCGU
rnacentral:rRNA from 1 species